ACUAGUGGGGACAGACAGAAAAUAAACAAGUAAAAUCUAGUGCAUGUCAGUUGGUGAUAAGUGAUGUGGAAGCUAGGUAAAGGGGUACAGCUUAAAAUAGGUCAGUCAAAGCAGACAUCAUCCAGCAGAUGAUAACGAGUUGAAGUCCAAGUUGGUGAUGGAGUGAGCCCCACAUAUCCGAGGGCAGUUUUCUAAGCAAGAAGAAUCACAAGGGAAAAGUUCUGACCAGGAAAUGAAUUGGUAACUUGAAGAACAGUGAAGAAACAUGUCAUCGUGCCUGGGCAAAAAGACCCAAUGGAAAAGGGGAAGGAGAAGAGGUCAGAAAGGUAUCACCAUGUACGAUCUAUGUUCCAAGGAGGCUGUGAAGACACUGAAACAGAACUAUUUUAAAAGCCACCUUCAGUGUUUUGAGGCAGUAAUGUUCUCCUAAGAAGCCCAAGAUUGUCGGUGCCACACCCUGAGCUUGGCACAGAUCCUUAUGGAAGAUGAAUUUAUCGGCAGAGAAGGGUGAAGGGGUGUAUGUUUCGUCCACCACUAAGCUGCUGAAACA